UUCAGCAGAUAGGACCCUGAGGAAAGAUAUGGUAUGAGGACACAACAGCCAUAACAAAUCAGGACUAUCUGUGAUAAGGAACUUACAGGCAUUGUUCUAGUUUUCUUCUAAAAACGGACUGAGAUGCUGUUCUCCUUUCAUCAGAGAAUGAAAGAGGAGACACUUGAUCAAAAAAUGUUCCUGCAAAUCACCCUGACGGCAUUCCACCUCCGUCAUCUGGAAUCAGAUUGACUUUCCUGACAAAGUGCAAGGUGGAUUUCUCCCUACCAGUGCUGUGGCAUUGCUGAUGUCAGAAACGGAGCUGGCUCUCUCCCCUUGGUUCCCAGCAGCGUUAUACAUAAUCAAAGUUCUAGAAGCAGAGCUUUGCUGGCAGUUUUGUUUGGGGGAAUGAUGCAUGGGACAGAGAGAAGUCCAUUUUGGGCUCUGCGCUGCUGACACUGAGAAGACUCUUCGUUCCGGUUAGAAUAAGACAAUUUGACUCAGAAGGCAUGUGGAGAGUGGAGCUAGACUCACGGAAGGCAGCACGACCUUAUAGUAUUGGAAACCGCACUGCCAGCACACAGGACUCGGAAGCUGUGCUUUUCUUUUUUAGUUGAAGAAAUCUGGCCAACGAUUCAGAUAGGAGGCAUAGCCCCUAGCUUUACCAGUUACUAGCUGCAUUACAGUGAGGAUCAUCACUGCUUAUUAUAAAAGAGGGCACACCAACACCUGUGUGUGUGUGUGUGUUGUGAGGAUUAAAUGGAAAAUUUUUAGAUACUUGCUACUCUUGAUGCAGUAGCAUUUUUCAAAUGAGAAGUGUGUGAACAUGGGUUCUAGAGGCAUCCAUGUGCUGGACUUUGAGUUCCACUCUUUCCUGGUAAUUUGCUUAACUCCCUGAGCAUAAGGGUCCUUGUCUGUCACACAGGACUGAAAUAUCAAAUUUACAGGGCCAGCCGAAGGUGUGAGCAUACAUUUAAAGUACUAGUAGCUUUGUGCCUGGAGUGUGUUUUCCACCCUGUAACUUGGUGUUAUUGGGUAUUCUUUGAUUCCUGCCAAACCAUUGGCGUGUUUCCCCUGUGAAAUAAUGGGUAGGCAGAAGCACAGAAAGGAGAAGUAUAUUACUACAUUGGUCAGGAUGGAUCUGAAGUCUGAAUCCACAUCUUAGACUCACACCUGGCAGAAAUUUUCUCUUAAAUCCCAAAUAAACUUAGGGCCUGCGUCUUCUGCUAGUACAAGCUGCAUCUUGAUGUUGAUCCAGGGGGAAAUCUCCUCGUAGAUUCCACGCUGUUGAUCCUGGAAAGUUUGUUACCUCCCACUGUGCAAAGUUCUCAGCUCUCAAAACAUACACUAUAGGACGUGUCUGACACACCUCUACAGUGGGGAGAAGACAUGGGAGAAUCACAAACAAAAUAGAGAGCUCCAUAGCCACAGGAAGCUGUUUUCAGUAACUACAGAAGGUGUUGGCACUAGAAACCCAGGACUGAAAUUCCUUUCUUUCUGAAGGAAACAAGGGACCUAGAGUUUAAAGUGUGAGAACAGGAAAUCAUAGAGAUCAUUGGGAGAAACACACAUGAGAGCAAACAGAGGCUAUUGACAAAAUUUGAACUCGAACUCCAACAACUUACUGAAGUGGACCAUGCCAGUGCUCAAUCUGACCAAGGAGUUGGGUCUCUUAUUGCCACUUAGGAAGUAGCACCUUCGCUGGUAGACAUUGUAGAUUUGCCAUGAACACAUUGGAUCUUUGAACUCAACACUAAAAAGCAGAUGAAACAUUGACCAUUGCAUUGAUAAUCCCCAAGAAAAGACCCUGGCCCUUUAAAAGCAAUGUGAUGAUUUAGAGAAAAUCAAGCUCUCCUUCACUUAAGGAACCUGAGGGGAGGAGCUCUUUAAGUAGAACUCUGCCAUCCAGAUGCUAUGGAAGAGCAAAGAUGAAGUAUGUGCCCAGAACAUGGGUACCCAGCUUAUGGCCCAUGGGCGGCAUGUGGCUAUAUAUGGCCCAACACACAAGAGUUGUAAACUUACAAUGUGUGGGAAAAAAAUGUAAGUCAGCUGUGUGGUUCUUGAGGGUGAACUUUGUAGAUGUCAAUAUCACAUCAUGAUCACCCCAAAUAAAUUCAUACAGGCUCUCACUAUUUGCAGGUAGGUGAAGCUUCUAGUUUACCACAUUGUUAUAUAAUUCAGCAGAACUGAGCUGGCACCAGCUGAGGUCACAUGCACUUGUGUUGACUCUUUGCAUGAAAUGCAAUAAUUGUCAGUAGCAUUUGCCCUACCCUUGCAAGCAGUGGGUGGUCGAUGUUAUUUUGAAGACUCCCAGAUAAAGUCCUGACUCCUCCAGACAGACAUGUGUAGUGGGUAGCCAUUCCAGCUUUGAUCUGGAAGUUCCAACCCCCACUGAGGCUUCAGUAACUGUCACGCCUACAAGGUGGGUCGAGACAGGACCCUGAAGACCUGAGAUCUGGAUGAGCAGGCUCUCUUGGUUCCUGGAUCCAGGACGCUGAAGGUAGAUCAAGCAGAGUUCUCCAGAGAACACCGCUGGACUGCACCACACCUUUCCCAGACCCUGUAGCCUAUCCCUUCACUUGUAAGUUACCUCACAAAAUAAACAUCCCUUUUAACUAUGUGGAGUGGCCUUAAUAAUUUCACCAAUAGACAUGUCUUCUUGUUUAUUGUUAAAUGUUUCCUUUGCUUCACAACUAUGUUUCAUUUAUGUUAUGACUUUCAGCACCACCUGCAUUUGGGAGAAGAAAGCAACUUAGAGCAAAAAUAAACCACCAAUAUCUGAUUAGUGCCAUGAGAACUCAUUGAGAAACCAUAACUUGCCUGAACCUCAUACU